rnacentral:rRNA from 1 species
AUACAGAGGGUGCAAGCGUUAUUCGGAAUUACUGGGCGUAAAGCGCGCGUAGGCGGAUGAUUAAGUCAGUUGUGAAAGCCCUGGGCUCAACCUAGGAACUGCAUCUGAUACUGGUCGUCUAGAGUUUAGGAGAGGGAAGUGGAAUUCCAGGUGUAGCAGUGAAAUGCGUAGAUAUCUGGAGGAACAUCAGUGGCGAAGGCGACUUCCUGGCUUAAAACUGACGCUGAGGUGCGAAAGCGUGGGUAGCGAACGGAAUUAGAUACCCCAGUAGUCC